UUUUAAAAAAAAUAAAACAGUUUAGGAGAGAAAAAUAAAAGUACUGCAUUUCUCUUUUCCAAACUUGCCAGUUUCAUUUCUAUAUUUUAGUCGGAAAGCGUUUUUUUUUCCAUUCUGCCUUGAUAAUGAUUCCAGACAUUUUAAUUUUGGUUGUAGAUGUUUCAGGAUGGGUUUUUCACGUGGGCAGAAAUCCCUUUUUAGAUGUAAAGCCAUGCUGUGUUUCUUCAGACCAAAAAACAUUCCACUGUCCAUCCUCCAAUACUUCCUGUUUGCUCAUCGAUUCAUGCCUAGACCCCCAGGAGGUUACUACAGGAGGUGGACGGCAGGUAGCCUAGACCCCCAGGAGGUUACUACAGGAGGUGGACAGCAGGUAGCCUAGACCCCCAGGAGGUUACUACAGGAGGUAAACGGCCUAGACCCCAGCAGGUUACUACAGGAGGUGGACGGCCUAGACCCCCAGGAGGUGGACAGCAGGUAACCUAGACCCCCAGGAGGUUACUACAGGAGGUGGACAGCAGGUAGCCUAGACCCCCAGGAGGUUACUACAGGAGGUGGACGGCAGGUAGCCUAGACCCCCAGCAGGUAGCCUAGACCCCCAGGACGAUACUACAGGAGGUGGACGGCAGGUAGCCUAGACCCCCAGGAGGUGGACAGCAGGUAGCCUAGACCCCCAGGAGGUUACUACAGGAGGUGGACGGCAGGUAGCCUAGACCCCCAGGAGGUUACUACAGGAGGUGGACGGCAGGUAGCCUAGACCCCCAGGAGGUUACUACAGGAGGUGGACGGCCUAGACCCCCAGGAGGUGGACAGCAGGUAGCCUAGACCCCCAGCAGGUAGCCUAGACCCCCAGGAGGUUACUACAGGAGGUGGA
rnacentral:lncRNA from 1 species